AAGUCGUAACAAGGUCUCCGUAGGUGAACCUGCGGAGGGAUCAUUAACACGUUCCAACCCUUCUGAUAUCAACCCAACUGUGAACUCUACAAGGCAGUCUUCUGUCUUUUGCCUCAAUGUCGCCACGCUGUACGGUGAGUGCUGAGAUCCAUGAUGAAGGUGUGAGAGGGAGUGAAGCUCUUCUUUGAUGGGCUUCUGAACUUUCACUACGGGUCGAGUGCUCUUGAUGACGACGGAAUGGCGGGUUCAACCCAUCUUCUCUUGUCAGCUGUCUUUGUGAUGACGAGGCCCCAACAUAUAUACGAGUAGUGGUGAGUCAUCGACCGCUACACGCAUAUCCACACGACCCUUGCUGUUGGAGAUGGGGAAUCAUCACGCAUUCCCUGCUUUGCCAGCAUUGAACAUUCCAUCAUUUUUUGUAAUUAUACUGACAUCAUAUCUGGGGUACAAGCACACCCUGUGUUGCUGUACCUUGGAGAUGUAUGCCUGUAUGAUGAGUUGUGAUUCUUUCGAGAGUCACUGUGCUUAAUAACACAACA
rnacentral:misc_RNA from 1 species